rnacentral:lncRNA from 1 species
GUUAUGAAAUAAUAUAAAGAAAAGAACAAUAAUGCAAGAAUAAGAACAAUAUAGAGAGAGAAUAGGGAAAGAGAGAAGUAUUCUUAUUAAUACUUGGGGUGAUUUACAAUGGGGUAAGACCCCUCUAUUUAUAGGAAGAGGAAUGACUUAGCUUCAAGCUAAAACUCUUAGACAUUCACUCUAAAUAGACUUCUAUUUUAUAACACU